UAUGAGCGCUGAAUAAUUGUUUUUUUUUUCUGUUGUUUAUGCAGAAUAAACUUCUGGAAACCAGUUGCAGCAUUGGCGAGGACGAUAUUCACGUGAGUUGCUCCAUCUGUGGUGUGGAGGAGUGUGUGGUCUGCGAAAAUGGUUCGUUUUCCAGUUGGCGAUGAAUCGAUGUCCGUUAUGAUGCAAAAGACGCCGUUGUUUUGCCUCCCCUGGGCCAGUUUCACCAUCAGAAUAAUCCCACGGCCUCCUUCAGCCUCGCUCCGACUGGGCC